AGAGAAGCAGGGACAUGAAGUGACAGUUUGAAACGUUGCAUCCUGACACAUCUGAAGACAUCCCUCAUGUGCAGACUUUUCAGUAAUGUAAAGUGGAAAGUGGGCAAGGCCAAGGUCAUGCUACAGAAUGUGACUGAGCAACAGGGGGAUCACUUCAGCUGGGAUGGGAAAGGAAAGCCUCCAGGAGGAGUUGACAUCGAAUCACAGUUGAAUCCUAAGAAGUCAGUCUUGCAAAGAUCUAGGAAAGAAACAGCUAAGUUUCUAAGGAUACAUUCUUCGUAUUCCAGAAAAUUGGAAGUUAAAACUGUCAUGAGAAUGACCUUAGAACUGUGACUGUAAAACCAGGUAAGAUAUGGAAGACAUGCAAAAUCCAGGUGGGUUUUAUUUUAAAAUAGUUAAACAUUUAAAAUACUUAAAAAUUGUGGCCUGCCAAACAAAAAGAAUAAAAGAACACAGGACAGAAUCAAGUAACAGAUUAAAUAAAAUAAGUCAGCCAAACAUCCUGGGUGUGGGGCUGAAGGCCCAUCACACAGGAGGAUUCAGUGAUGGGGAACUUGAGUCCACAGGUGGCAGGCUUGGAGAACAGCUCACUGGGAAGGCAAGGCCUAGAGUCACUACUGGCAGAGGUAAUACAACUAGGCUCAACUUAUCCCAAUUUCAUGAGAAAAAUCACCCAGACAUCUAUAGCUCUAGAUCCCACAUGUUUUCACAAGAUUCAAUCUCAGUUAUCUGAGAACAUGACCCCAAAUUGGCUUUAAAAGAGUAACCUCUA